rnacentral:rRNA from 1 species
AGUGAACGCUGGCGGUAGGCCUAACACAUGCAAGUCGAACGGCAGCACAGUAAGAGCUUGCUCUUACGGGUGGCGAGUGGCGGACGGGUGAGGAAUACAUCGUAAUCUACUUUUUCGUGGGGGAUAACGUAGGGAAACUUACGCUAAUACCGCAUACGACCUACGGGUGAAAGCAGGGGAUCUUCGGACCUUGCGCGAUUGAAUGAGCCGAUGUCGGAUUAGCCAGUUGGCGGGGUAAAGGCCCACCAAGGCGACGAUCCGUAGCUGGUCUGAGAGGAUGAUCAGCCACACUGGAACUGGGACACGGUCCAGACUCCUACGGGAGGCAGCAGUGGGGAAUAUUGGACAAUGGGCGCAAGCCUGAUCCAGCCAUACCGCGUGGGUGAAGAAGGCCUUCGGGUUGUAAAGCCCUUUUGUUGGGAAAGAAAAGCAGCAGGUUAAUACCACGCUGUUCUGACGGUACCCAAAGAAUAAGCACCGGCUAACUUCGUG